AACGAACGCUGGCGGCAUGCCUAACACAUGCAAGUCGAACGAGACCUUCGGGUCUAGUGGCGCACGGGUGCGUAACGCGUGGGAACCUGCCCUUAGGUUCGGAAUAACUCCCCGAAAGGGGUGCUAAUACCGGAUAAUGUCUUCGGACCAAAGAUUUAUCGCCUUUGGAUGGGCCCGCGUUGGAUUAGCUAGUUGGUAGGGUAAAAGCCUACCAAGGCGACGAUCCAUAGCUGGUCUGAGAGGAUGAUCAGCCACACUGGGACUGAGACACGGCCCAGACUCCUACGGGAGGCAGCAGUGGGGAAUAUUGGACAAUGGGCGAAAGGCUGAUCCAGCAAUGCCGCGUGAGUGAUGAAGGCCUUAGGGUUGUAAAGCUCUUUUACCCGGGAUGAUAAUGACAGUACCGGAAGAAUAAGCUCCGGCUAACUACGUG
rnacentral:rRNA from 1 species